UACGAAGGGGGCUAGCGUUGUUCGGAAUUACUGGGCGUAAAGCGCGCGCAGGCGGCUAUCCAAGUCAGUGGUGAAAGCCCGGAGCUCAACUCCGGAACUGCCAUUGAAACUGUUUAGCUUGAGGAUGAGAGAGGUGAGUGGAAUUCCCAGUGUAGAGGUGAAAUUCGUAGAUAUUGGGAAGAACACCGGUGGCGAAGGCGGCUCACUGGACCACAUCUGACGCUGAGGCGCGAAAGCUAGGGGAGCAAACAGG
rnacentral:rRNA from 1 species